UACGUAGGGGGCAAGCGUUGUCCGGAUUUAUUGGGCGUAAAGAGCGUGUAGGCGGUUCGGUAGGUCCGUUGUGAAAACUCGAGGCUCAACCUCGAGACGCCGAUGGAAACCAUCGAACUAGAGUCCGGAAGAGGAGAGUGGAAUUCCUGGUGUAGCGGUGAAAUGCGUAGAUAUCUGGAGGAACACCGGUGGCGAAGGCGGCAUCCUGGACCGGUAUUGACGCUGAGGCGCGAAAGCUAGGGGAGCAAACGGGG
rnacentral:rRNA from 1 species